rnacentral:rRNA from 1 species
ACGGGAGGCAGCAGUGGGGAAUAUUGCACAAUGGGGGAAACCCUGAUGCAGCGACGCCGCGUGAGCGAUGAAGUAUUUCGGUAUGUAAAGCUCUAUCAGCAGGGAAGAAAAUGACGGUACCUGACUAAGAAGCACCGGCUAAAUACGUGCCAGCAGCCGCGGUAAUACGUAUGGUGCAAGCGUUAUCCGGAUUUACUGGGUGUAAAGGGAGCGUAGACGGAGAGGCAAGUCUGAUGUGAAAACCCGGGGCUCAACCCCGGGACUGCAUUGGAAACUGCUUUUCUAGAGUGUCGGGGAGGUAAGUGGAAUUCCUAGUGUAGCGGUGAAAUGCGUAGAUAUUAGGAGGAACACCAGUGGCGAAGGCGGCUUACUGGACGAUGACUGACGUUGAGGCUCGAAAGCGUGGGGAGCAAACAGGAUUAGAUACCCUGGUAGUCCACGCCGUAAACGAUGACUGUCUAGGUGUCGGGAGGCAAAGCCUUUCGGUGCC